rnacentral:rRNA from 1 species
GAUGAACGCUGGCGGCGUGCCUAAUACAUGCAAGUCGAGCGAACAGACGAGGAGCUUGCUCCUCUGACGUUAGCGGCGGACGGGUGAGUAACACGUGGAUAACCUACCUAUAAGACUGGGAUAACUUCGGGAAACCGGAGCUAAUACCGGAUAAUAUAUUGAACCGCAUGGUUCAAUAGUGAAAGACGGUUUUGCUGUCACUUAUAGGUGGAUCCGCGCCGCAUUAGCUAGUUGGUAAGGUAACGGCUUACCAAGGCAACGAUGCGUAGCCGACCUGAGAGGGUGAUCGGCCACACUGGAACUGAGACACGGUCCAGACUCCUACGGGAGGCAGCAGUAGGGAAUCUUCCGCAAUGGGCGAAAGCCUGACGAAGCAACGCCGCGUGAGUGAUGAAGGUCUUCGGAUCGUAAAACUCUGUUAUUAGGGAAGAACAAAUGUGUAAGUAACUAUGCACGUCUUGACGGUACCUAAUCAGAAAGCCACGGCUAACUACGUG